UUUGGAGGGAAGGACGAGAUUCAAUUCAUUUCAUGGUCAUUCAAGUUCAAUUCAAAGUUCAAAAAAAUGGAGGGAAAAACAUUUGUAUUGCUUGGAAUACAAGUUACAACCAUACAAGGUCAAUUCAUGGUCAAAACACAAAGAAUACAUCACAAAAAAGUCAAAAGUGAAAACUAUACAAGAAACCCCUAAUUUGGACCUAGGUUGACUUUUGGUCAAACAGUUGACCAAAGUCAAACUGACCAUCCCCUAGCCUACUUUGAUCUUCAUUACCUUGGAUUCUCCAUUUGCAGCAUUAAGUCUUUCAUGCCAUUCUAAAACCUCUUCAUGUCCAUGAUACCUUGCCAAACCUCGAUCAUGCCAUGUAAAAACCUUGAUAAUGCCAACCAAGCUUCAUGCACAAGCUUUCACAUAAAGUCAUAUAACCAGCCCAGUAAGAAAAGACCUCAACCUGUUAGUUGCAUAUACACAUAAUAAAGCCUAACAAUGGCAACAUCAUAAACACAAUGCAUAUUACAAUCCUUCAAGCCAGGGCAUAACCAUUAGGCACAAUUAACUUUUUCUAACUAGUAGCAUGAUAUAAAUCUACACGCACUUGACACCUAUAAUAAACCUUUUUCAAUCCUAACUACCUAAGCUAUUAGUCAUAUUGUAUUAAAGCUAAAUGAUCAUACCAACUAACAUAGCCCUGAUCAUACCUCCUUUUUCAUCUUUAACAAUCCAUUUUAACAUGUUUUGGUGUUAGUUUUGUUAGCACUCAACCCAUUCCAAAUUGGCAGUCCAAAUGAUCAUAACUUAACUAACAUAAGAAAACAGCCUGUCAAUGUUAUCUCCUAACCAACAUCUUUAGCACUAACCGAUCCACCAAAUUAAACAAUUCACCAAUUAUUAACAAUUAACAACGAUAACUAACAUCCUGCUAUUGCUAAUCUCUUAACCAACAUUUUUACUUAAACAAAUUUCAUAACAAUUCAUGCUUUUUUUACACAAAUUCACUAACAAUUUUCAUCAAAAGCUUCCAACUAAUUCCAAAUGCUAACAUAAAUUUACUACUUCUAACCAGCCAAUGAUAACUUCAUAACAAAAAUUACACUAACCAAUAAGCAACUAACAUUCACCAAAGUCCAUAACAAUUCAACAAACUUUCUAUCUCCUAAUCACUAAUCAAUUCCAUUUCACUAACGGUUAUGACAUUCUAACUAAUACUAACAACCAAAACAACUUCAUACUAGUCCUUCCUUAACAACUAACCUCCUCAUAGCUAACAUCUUUUCCAAAAUCUUAUAACCUUUGUAACACAACUCAAUCCAAACUAACUAUUUUUUAACAAUAACUAGGUCACUAACAGUCUAACAUAUAACCAAGUUAACUAACAUCUAACAGUCAAAAUUCAACUCACUAGCAUCACAGCCUAACUAACAAACUGAUUCAAACUAACUAAACUAACAACAAGUUAACAAAGUUAAGCUCUCUAACCAAUUUACUCAUGAAUCCACUUAACACUAACAAUUCCUAACAGAAUUUUAACUCUGUUAACUAACAUCUAAUAAACUCCCUCUUCAAUCCAACUGAAACUUAACACUGCCCUAACUUUGUUAACAAAACUGACUGAAAUCCUGUAUGAAUCAGUUAGGAGCACCCUUUGUAAAUCCUCUCAUUCACCUUCAUUCAUAACCAAUCACAUUUCCACAAAUCACUCUUCAAUCUCCACAACAAUCAUAUUCCAUAUCACUCUCGAUCUCCCUGAAUCACUCUGAUAAUUCACACUCUUUCUUUCUACUCAAUCACUCUCCUCACACGUGUAUGCAACAACAACAACACAAGGCAACCAUAAUUCAAACCUACAGACUAACGCUUGAAGGAGAAGAAGAAGAAGUUGCGCAGGAAAAAUGAGGAGUUUCAAGCAUACCUGAAUCGCUUCCUCUAGUCUUCUUUGGUAUUUAUCAUCAUCUUCUUCAAUUUGUGCAAGCGUCAGGGCUAACCUCUACCUUGUAUGUAAGUUUCCUCAUUCUUCCUUGGUUUGCACUGAGCUUAUUACCACCAUGUAAUUACAAAUACAAGGAAUCAAAACCCUAAUGUCUCAGGAUCUGAUUCCUCUUUAACAUCAUUUAAUUUUGCUUUGUGCUUCUUAGGAUUUUAGGAAAGAUCAUUGUUAGAUUGAGGGAGAUGAGGACAAGAGGGUUGGGAAGGUUUGAUAAUGGGUAUUUUGGCUUAACUCCACUGACUCAGGCGUGACGGAGCUAACUCCGGCAGGGGAGAUUCUUGAGAUAGGGAGGAGUAGCAUAAUAAACUGAUUUGAAUCGAGACUUUGCUAAAACACCUUUAUCCCCCUUUGCCUUGUUU
rnacentral:lncRNA from 1 species